CGAAGAUGAUCUCAAUGUUACAAAGAGAUUCGUUGGACUGAAGGGCCUCAUUCUGUGCUGUAGACCUUUACGACUCUUAAGCAAAAUUGGCCAAGAUGGGGAGCAGCAUUACGGGAAAAAGGAACCCGACAGUACAAAUGGCUACCACUUGAUAUCCAAAAAAAAAUCUACCUGAUGAAGC